UUUAAUUGAAGAGUUUGAUCAUGGCUCAGAUUGAACGCUGGCGGCAGGCCUAACACAUGCAAGUCGAGCGGCAGCACAGAGAAACUUGUUUCUCGGGUGGCGAGCGGCGGACGGGUGAGUAAUGCCUGGGAAAUUGCCCUGAUGUGGGGGAUAACCAUUGGAAACGAUGGCUAAUACCGCAUGAUAGCUUCGGCUCAAAGAGGGGGACCUUCGGGCCUCUCGCGUCAGGAUAUGCCCAGGUGGGAUUAGCUAGUUGGUGAGGUAAGGGC
rnacentral:rRNA from 1 species